rnacentral:rRNA from 1 species
UACGUAGGGUGCAAGCGUUGUCCGGAAUUAUUGGGCGUAAAGAGCUCGUAGGCGGUCUGUCGCGUCGCUAGUGGAAAUCCCCGAGGCUCAACCUCGGGUCUGCAGUCGAUACGGGCAAACUGGAGUACUGCAGGGGAGACUGGAAUUCCUGGUGUAGCGGUGAAAUGCGCAGAUAUCAGGAGGGAACACCGGUGGCGAAGGCGGGUCUCUGGGCAGUAACUGACGCUGGAGGAGCGAAAGCGUGGGGAGCGAACAGG